AUUGAACGCUGGCGGCAGGCCUAACACAUGCAAGUCGAGCGGAGCGGCGGACGGGUGAGUAUUGCUAAGGAAUCUGACUGGUAGUGGGGGAUAACGUUAGGAAACGGGAGCUAAUACCGCAUCCUAUCAGAAGAGCCUAGGUCGGAUUAGGAAGUUGGUGGGGGAAAGGCCUACCAAGGCGACGAUCCGUAGCUGGUCCGAGUGGUUGAGCAGUCACACUGGAACUGAGACACGGUCCAUACUCCUACGGGAGGCAGCAGUGGGGAAUAUUGGACAAUGGGCGCAAGCCUGAUCCAGCCAUGCCGCGUGUGUGAAGAAGGCCUUCGGGUUGUAAAGCACUUUAAGUUGGGAGGCGUUACUCGCAGAAUAAGCACCGGCUAACUCCGUGCCAGCAGCCGCGGUAAUUC
rnacentral:rRNA from 1 species